GUGGGCCCUCGAAAUCCGUCGGCGGGGGAUUCAGUCGGGAGGUGUGGGCUCGUGCGCCGGUCGUUUCUUCGGACCCUUGAACGGGCCGGGCCGGCGUCGCAGUCUCCACGCGACCCGACGCACUUCCUCCCGCCCCAAGGACGCCGCAGCCGGUUGGGUAGCUGCGCGAGUCGGCCAUAAGGACGGGCACCGGAAGGUGGCCAGUGGCGUUCCCCGUGUUCGUCGCUGGUCGUUAUCCAGCCCGCCCGUGGCGCGACACCCGACCGAGGUCGAUUGGUCCCGGUUAGGACCUUGCCGUCCCCUCCCCCGUGGUCGAGCGGGCGCGCCGGCAGGCGAUUCCCCUUGCGGUCGUCCCACUCUCCGAGUGGCCGGCCCUCGGGUGGCGCCGUUGGCAGGGAUGCGUCCCGCGCGGGGAUAGCGAUGGCUUGCGGCGAGUAGGUCGGUCACCCACCCGACCCGUCUUGAAACACGGACCAAGGAGUCUAACAUGUGCGCGAGUCACGGGGUCUUGUUCAGGCCCAGAGGCGCAAUGAAAGUGAAGGCCGGCCUCGACGCCGGUCGUGUUGGGACUCUCCGCUUCGAUAGCGGGGAAGCACCAACGACCCGCCCUGUCCGAUUCAUCGGUUGGGCGGAGUGUGAGCGUACACGUUGGGACCCGAAAGAUGGUGAACUAUGCCUGGGCAGGACGAAGCCAGAGGAAACUCUGGUGGAGGUCCGUAGCGGUUCUGACGUGCAAAUCGAUCGUCAGACCUGGGUAUAGGG
rnacentral:rRNA from 1 species